rnacentral:rRNA from 1 species
UCGGGGACCGUGCAUGGUAGGCAGUUUGACUGGGGCGGUCUCCUCCCAAAGUGUAACGGAGGAGCUCGAAGGUCGCCUAGGUACGGUCGGACAUCGUACUGAUAGUGUAAUGGCAUAAGGCGGCUUAACUGCGAGACCGACAAGUCGAGCAGGUGCGAAAGCAGGACAUAGUGAUCCGGUGGUUCUGUAUGGAAGGGCCAUCGCUCAACGGAUAAAAGGUACUCCGGGGAUAACAGGCUGAUACCGCCCAAGAGUUCACAUCGACGGCGGUGUUUGGCACCUCGAUGUCGGCUCAUCACAUCCUGGGGCUGUAGCCGGUCCCAAGGGUAUGGCUGUUCGCCAUUUAAAGUGGUACGUGAGCUGGGUUUAAAACGUCGUGAGACAGUUUGGUCCCUAUCUGCAGUGGGCGUUGGAAGUUUUGAGGGGGG